rnacentral:sRNA from 1 species
ACUCGGCAUAAUUUACCCUGACUGAGCAGUUCUGUUGAGCAACAAACAAUAUGACUUCAUGAUGUGAUCAGCAAGCAUUGUCCAGCUGACAUGCGUCUGGUGCAUGAAGGUACAUCAUGGUAAACGACAUACCAGGACAUUCCUAUCUUGUUUUCAGUAACCAUUUAAAGAGUUAUUAUUUAAAAAAUGAAUUAUAAGGUAAUUACAUGUAUGUUUUUGAACUUAGACCAAUCGCGUAGGGAAUAUGUAUUAAAUCCACAUAUAUGUAUUUCAUUUGGCAAUUGACGCUCAACUGCUUAGUAUGAUAAUUUUUGGGAGUUGAUUUUAAAAUGUUUGCGAGUUGAUUUUAAUCAACACUCCUAUGCAAUUACUCAUGCAAACCGGAAGUUAAACAGUGUUUAAGCACAAAUCAUCACCGCCGACAAAACGUACUACUUGAAAAUAAUCGAUUAUUUCGAAUAUUUGUAAUGUAUUCAGAAGCACUGUUUCUCAAGGAAAUUCAUUUAUAAAUACUUUAAAUAUAAUCAGAAUUAAAUUGUUCGAUCAAUUUAAAUAUCUCUUUGUAGUCGUAUGUAUUCCUACGCCAGAGUUCGAUUAGAGUGAUAGCGUUUGGAAUAUAAAGGACAGACUAUCCAAUCUAAAGAUAGAACAAGUACUGGCGUACACUAUACUUUAUCUUCAUUAGUUUGUUAAAAAUUGCUUUGAUACACCUUCCCAGAAAUGUUUCGAUUACUGAUACAUAAUACAUCGCAGAGUUUGAUGGUGUUGAUUUUAUCUUUGAAUAUUACACAACGUGGUCUUUAUUGGAUUUUCGUCUACAUAGAAUUCUUGACAAAGAAGAAAAAAUGUGUGUAAUUAUUCAAAUAGAGUUGAGAAACUACUAGCUAUGCAAAAUAACAUCGUUGAUAUCAAAAUAAAUAAUAAUCAAUGAAAUCAGCUCCCGUUAGUACUUCAGUACUUUGAUUUUAAAAAGAUAUUACCAGCCAGCUGCCAGGAGUGACUUGUGUACAUGAAAGUUAAAAGUGGUAGUGCUUCUGGUGAAUUGAAUAGAUAACAAAAAGAUAAAGUAAUACAAAAUCCGUGUCAUUUAUGGUUUGCGAAAUUGAGAUUGCGCUUCCAAACAAAAACGACCUUUGGGUAAUAUUUUUACAAUAAAUUAUAAUGAAUUAAGGUUACUGUGUCAUAAACACAGUUUAUCCUAGUUAAUGAAACUUAACAUUUUUUAAGUACAGGAUCAAAAUGUUUCAGGCAUCAUUGCGCCAGGAAUUUAAUCCGACCUUCUCUUUCCACAUCGAAAGAGUUUGUUAAAUGAAGUUAAUGAUUGCUCCUUUGUAAUUCGUGGUCAUGGGAUUUCAUUACUAUGCUGCAACAUCACGUGGAUGAAUGACGACGUAGUCCUACUAAAACAAACGUACACGGAGUGAAUGUAUAAUAAUGGCACGCCAAAUGUUAACGGUUUUUUCACACAGCUGCAGUGUCCACGGUAGAAUAGACGACAACCGUAUUUCUAAACCCAACUUAAAUUUAUAAUUUUUUUAUGCGCAGUGAUAUCACAGAAGAUUUUGUACAUCUAUAUUCUUUAAAAUUAUUGAAUGAAAUUUUAUAAAUCUGUCAAAUU